ACCUCGAGUGUGUUCCCUUUUUGAGAAAUGAUGGCAGAGGUUUGCUGACGCUGUGAGAGAGCAGCAGGCUCCGUGUCCUGUCAUCAUCCAUAUUCAAAGGAGAAAACAAAUGUUAACAAUUAUGUCAAGUCACAACAAUCCAGCCACCUGGCAGUGGCCUUUAAAAGCUCAAGAAUGCACAUAACCUGAAGCAACUGAAAUUGAGGGUUUUUCUCGUCCUUCCGGUUAGGAGGAAUUUCAACAGCGAGGCGAAUUCCGGCUGAGCCACUGUUCCAGUUGCCGGUCGUUUUUGCUCAAGAAAUUGAUGUUGGCCUGGAUAAGUUCCAGGGACUGCAUCAGCGAACGUUUACCACUUCCGACGUUGACGUUGCGGAAAAAUGUCUGCACGGAUUUCAGAUCCAGCGGGUCGUGAAAGUGCGAAACGGCCGCCACGAUCAGCCGGCCUAUCGUGAACGAGGCUCUACCGAAUGUGACCUCGAUCAUGUUCCAGCGCGUCUGCAAUUGACGCCAGACUAGCAGAGAUCCGACCGGAUUCCUAGCCACCGA